rnacentral:ncRNA from 21 species
AACUUAUCAAGAGAAACUGAGGGACUGGCCCGAUGAUGUUUCAGCAACCACACAUAUGUGACGGUGCUAAAUCCAGCAGAACAUAGUUCUGGGAGAUGAGAA